rnacentral:piRNA from 1 species
UAGGGGUAGCCCAAACCUAGGAAUUCUUU